AUCUACUGCCAUGCCACCCUAAACACACCCGAUCCAGUCUGAUCUCUGAAGCUAAGCAGGGUCGGGGCUGGUUAGUACUUGGAUGGGAGAACAACUAGAAAGACAGGGUGCUGUAGGCG
rnacentral:rRNA from 1 species